AUUGAACGCUGGCGGCAUGCCUUACACAUGCAAGUCGAACGGCAGCGCGGACUUCGGUCUGGCGGCGAGUGGCGAACGGGUGAGUAACAUAUCGGAACGUGCCCUGGAGUGGGGGAUAACUAGUCGAAAGACUAGCUAAUACCGCAUACGAUCGACGGAUGAAAGUGGGGGAUCGCAAGACCUCAUGCUCGUGGAGCGGCCGAUAUCUGAUUAGCUAGUUGGUGGGGUAAAGGCCUACCAAGGCAUCGAUCAGUAGCUGGUCUGAGAGGACGACCAGCCACACUGGGACUGAGACACGGCCCAGACUCCUACGGGAGGCAGCAGUGGGGAAUUUUGGACAAUGGGGGCAACCCUGAUCCAGCAAUGCCGCGUGAGUGAAGAAGGCCUUCGGGUUGUAAAGCUCUUUUGUCAGGGAAGAAACGGUCCGGGCUAAUAUCCUGGGCUAAUGACGGUACCUGGAGAAUAAGCACCGGCUAACUACGUGCCAGCAGCCGCAGUAA
rnacentral:rRNA from 1 species